rnacentral:misc_RNA from 1 species
UUUCCGUAGGUGAACCUGCGGAAGGAUCAUUAAAAAAUUGGACUCCAUUGGUGAGUUCAUUAAUAAUCCCUACCCUUUGUGAAUUUGUUUGUUUGGAUAAUUUUUUUUCCAAAAAAAAAUUAUUGAAUGUCUUUCCCUGUUUUGGUGGAGCUUGUAAAGUGAAACCAGGCAGGGGAAUGGCAAACAAUAAUUAUUUUUGAAAAAAGACCUUUUUUAAAAUUAAACUUUUUGUAUUCAUUUGUCUAAAAUUAUUUUUAUAAUAUAAAAACAACUUUUGACAAUGGAUCUCUUGGUUCUCGCAACGAUGAAGAACGCAGCAAAAUGCGAUAAGUAGUGUGAAUUGCAGAAUACGUGAAUCAUCGAAUCUUCGAACGCAUAUUGCACUUUUUUAGUUUACUAAAAAAGUAUGUCUGUUUGAGUAUCAGUAAAAUAUUCUCAUAAAAAACAUUGUUUUUUUAUGGUUAUGAGUGUUUUACAACGAUAACAAGUUGUUUCACUUUAAAUUCUUUGUUAUCAAAAAAAUCAUUAAAAGCUAAUUUUAAAGAUUUUUUAAAAUUGGAUAAAAUUUUCCCGUAAAAAGGAAUAACCUAAACAAUUUUAAAAAAUUAAAAUUGGUUUGAUUUUUUUUGAAACCCAAAGGAAAAAAAAACGAAAUUAACUUGAUCUCAAAUCAGAUAAGAGUACCCGCUGAGCUUAAGCAUAUCAAUAAGCGGAGGAAAAGAAACUAACUAGGAUUCCCUUAGUAACGGCGAGUGAAGCGGGAAGAGCUCAAAUUUGAAAUCUUCAAGGUUUUACCUUGACGAAUUGUAGUUUAAAGAAGUGUUUUCUGUUGAAGUUUUGGUAAAAGUUCUUUGGAAUAGGACAUCAUAGAGGGUGAGAAUCCCGUAUUUGACCAUUAUUUUCCAGCUGUGUGAUACACUUUCGAAGAGACGGAUUGUUUGGGAAUGCAGUCCAAAAUGGGUGGUAAAUUUCAUCUAAAGCUAAAUAUUGGCGAGAGACCGAUAGCGAACAAGUACCGUGAGGGAAAGAUGAAAAGAACUUUGAAAAGAGAGUUAAACAGUACGUGAAAUUGUCAAAAGGGAAGCGUUUGACACCAGUGUUGCUUUCUCGAAAAUCAACUAAAAAGAGUGGAUUUUGUGUUGUAUUGACCUUAACAGCUUCUGCAUUUAAUUUUCUUGCUUUUUUUAAUGCACUUUUCGUUUAACAAGUCAACAUCAGUUUCUUUUGUUGUAUAAGGGUCAUUGGAAGGUGGCUUUCUUUUCGGAGAAAGUGUUUAUAGCCUUUGACUCUGCAAUCGGUGAGAUUGAGGUCUGCAGCGUAGAUCCUUCGGGGUUAGAUACAUUUGUGCUAAGUUAUAGCCUUUUAUAGACAACUUGUUGACUAUGAUCAGUCAUGUAGCUUACUCGCUUAUGCUAUUU